AGCCACACUGGAACUGAGACACGGUCCAGACUCCUACGGGAGGCAGCAGUGGGGAAUAUUGCACAAUGGGCGCAAGCCUGAUGCAGCCAUGCCGCGUGUGUGAAGAAGGCCUUCGGGUUGUAAAGCACUUUCAGCGGGGAGGAAGGCGUUAAGGUUAAUAACCUUGGCGAUUGACGUUACCCGCAGAAGAAGCACCGGCUAACUCCGUGCCAGCAGCCGCGGUAAUACGGAGGGUGCAAGCGUUAAUCGGAAUUACUGGGCGUAAAGCGCACGCAGGCGGUCUGUCAAGUCGGAUGU
rnacentral:rRNA from 1 species